UACGUAGGGUGCAAGCGUUGUUCGGAUUCACUGGGCGUAAAGGGUGCGUAGGCGGUCGGGUAAGUCUGAUGUGAAAUCUCACAGCUUAACUGUGAAACUGCAUUGGAUACUAUCCGGCUAGAGGAAUGGAGGGGAGACUGGAAUACUUGGUGUAGCAGUGAAAUGCGUAGAUAUCAAGUGGAACACCAGUGGCGAAGGCGAGUCUCUGGACAUUUCCUGACGCUGAGGCACGAAAGCCAGGGGAGCAAACGGG
rnacentral:rRNA from 1 species